UUAAGUGGCGAUGACAUUUCUAAAUGAAAAAGAAAAAAAAGGGGGGAAAAAGCCACCUGUAUGUGAAAUAAAGACAGCCAAGGGAAGGGAAGACAUUCAUCACUGCUAAUAAUACUGGAAAUCAGCCCCCUUUUAACAUUGCGAUUUGCUUUGAAUAGGAGAUGGAAUUUGUUUGCUUUGUUAUCGAGUAAACAAUAAUUCACGUGUGCGCUCGGAGAAGUGAAUGUGGUGCUCCUGAAAGGCGCCCGAGUGACAGCACGGGAGAGCAAAGUCCUGUGUCACAUCCAGAAUAAACACAGCCCAGGUAGUACUGUGGCGCUCCACCCUGCUCCGCUACGGGCCUGCGAGAGGCUGACGGAGGGAUCCCGCUGAGCAAGGCACGAGGGCAGCCUGCCUGCUCACUUUGGCUCUGGCUUCGCAAAGCGCUUAAGGUUCAGACUCGGUAACACUUAAGCAUAUGUUUAAGUGCCUCACUGAACUGGAGCUUUUAUCUUCUGCACCUCUGAGGGUGGCGCAGCGAAGGAUGGCACAACCAGCCGGCACAAAACCCUCAGUCCUUACCGCAUCCGUCACUGUGGAACCAUUAGAUGGCAACAGUCUUCAUUCAAUACAUGGGAUAUUGUCAGACUGCUGGUCUACAGGCAGAAGGUCACCCGUUAUGAAUAACUCCUUGAGCCCUUCAGGUGAAGAUUGCUCUUCAGAGAGCUGAGACUUUUAAGUAAAGUUUCUAAGCAACUUCUGUGUUCGUUCUUCCACGCCGUAUCAACUGCAUUUGGAGCUACUGACUGAUGAAGCAGAACAAGCAGUGAGAUGCUCCUUCAUCCUGUUCUAACUUUUACAGCAAAUUAUAUUCCUAGGCUACUGUAAGGCACAUAACACUGUUUUGCCUUGCUGUGGGCCCAGUCCAACAUCUUGACAUAGCAAGGAGAUCUACACUCGUAUCAUGUGGUACCUGCAAUGUAGCAAAAACAGAAGAUGCCCAGCUCUCUCUCUCCUGUCUCUCACUGGUGGUGUUGCUGCUCAGAUGAACCUCAAUGUUUCACAUGCUCCUCACAGAUUUUGCAUGCCCUAUGAUUUAAAGAAGGAAUUAAGCAUCUAAGUAAGGUUUUUGACAUGCAUAUUUGCAUGGGAAAACCUGGGACAUGUUUUAAAAGUUUUCAGACACGUGCAUUUACAUGGAUGAACUUAACACUUUUUGCUCUCGUAAUUUGCUUCCUUUUCCUCCGCUUUCCAUUUUCCUCUUGGCCUCGACUGAUUUUCAUACCUGGGGCCACGGCAGCAGAUGAUAAGUACGCAACCACAUACGUCUUCAUCCAGGCACUCUCGCUCAUACUCUCACUGCCCUCGUCAGCAUGGUACCUUGAAAGUCAGUGUAGGGUGGGAGGAGACCGCCAAGAAGCAGGCACAGCCAUGACUUUCCAAAAGCAUCUCGUUGCAAACUUUACCCACCUAACCCCCCGCCAAUUCCCCUGGGCUCCACCCCAAGGGUCGGGUUCUGCCUCUUAGAGGGCUGUUUGUGGGAACAGUGGCCAACUUCUCCUGCCUCUGGGGUCAGCAAGCCAGUAGGAGACGGUUUUAAAGGCUGGCAAUUGCCCUCACCUAUGGAGAAAGGCAGACAAGAUAGACUUGUGGUGCUGGGCCCAUGGCCCAGGCUGCAGCACAAGGUGCUGCACAGAAAGUCACAGUAAUCACAAAAGGGAGAGAGGCUCGCUACCGAGCAGCCACGAACUGCUGAGUGGGACAUCAGCACAGGGCCGAGGUUGCUGACGAGCCAGGCGGAGGCACCCAGAGAGAGCAGCGGUAGGCAGGUGCUGCCGAGGCCUUGCCAUGCCCUGGGCAGUGCCAGCUCCUAGGAAAGGAUCCUGCAGCAGCAAGCAGCACCCACGCGGCGCUCUCGCCUCAUGCCUACGUGUGUGUCGACUUCGAAGCCACUGGGCACAGUCAGGCAAACUCCUGGGGAAGUUAUUCACAGACCGCGCAGCACAGCAAGAGCGGUAGUUGAUCAGGAGAGAGAGGCGUUUGGCUCAGCGUCUUUGACAGCGGCUAGCAGAGGUGGCUUGGAAGGAGAAUAAGGAACAAGCACACGAGGAGUAAGCCUCUCCCAGGGUACGUAGGCUCCCAACUUCCAGUAGUCAGCAGCUGAGUUGGAGGUUGCAUUUGCCCAUCUUUAAUACCCCCUGAUGGCUCUAACCUCCAUUCACCUGUCUGGUCCUUUUCUGAACCCAGAUACGUAUUCGGUUUCUGCAACACCCUGUGGCAAUCGCCGUGAAGGGAUUAUGAUGCACGGACAAGUAGAAACUCCUUUUGCGAGCCCAUUAAAAUAGCUGCAGGCAGAAGCAGGGAGUAAACCUCCUUCCCUCCUCCCCCCGCUCCAAGACUCCUCAUGGCCAGACCACCACGGCUGCCGGGGCAGGUGACAACGACAAUGGCAGGUCCACGAGGGGCACUCUGCUUAGUCUGAGAUGUCUCUUGGCUGCUCCGCUUGGCCAAAUCCUCUCUUCUUGGCACAUCACUUGUAGCUACCACUACUCCUUCUCCCGCGCUGUGUGCGGAACUGCUACUGACCAACAGCGCAUUUAUAAAUAGAACAAUGUUUAAUUAACACAACAGUAGGACAGACUUGUUGAAAUACUUCCCAGACAGCAGGCAAGAGUCCUGACAAGGAGACUAUUAUGGGAAUUUUAAUGAAUCCUUCCAAAGUGGGACGGCUUCCAUACACCUACAUCGCAAUGACUGAUUUUGUUUGUGAAAAUUGUAUUGGUAAAUGACGCAGGGGGACAAUAACAUUGAAGACCAGCAAAUUGAAUAAAGUCACUGGGUAACUACAUGAAAUACUGCCUACCGGAUGGAGCGGAGUGCUUAGCAAAUGCAGUACAGUCAUGGGUCCGAGUGCCCAAAAGCCCACGUCAGACCCAGCUACAAAUGUAGUUUGCAUAAGGCAGGCAAAGAAGCAAUUAAAUAACCCAAACAAGGAUCUUGCUGUGCCAGAUGCCACCACAGCGUGAAGAGAAACGAGGGCUGCAAGACUGCACAGCUACUGUGAGACACGACCAGGAGCAUGUGCCUUAUUAACACCACUGUUAAAUCCAUGUCUACUAGCUGCAACUGCUGUAAUUGAGACGAUGCACACAUACCCUUGAGAUCUCACUGUGCAAGAAAACAGGAAAUUAAAACUGGCUACCUCAGUAAUGGGCCUAUAUAAGGUUUCCACCUACUACAGAACAGCCUACUUUUUCUAGCAGUGAUGUGAGAAAUGUGAAUCAAGGGGCACAGAAAGAACAAGGCUCACAAUGUCCAUAUGUUCCCUUAUGUCCACCUCUUCCCGGCUCCAUAAACUUCUUAUCCUCUGUCAGAGACAUUGCCCACCAAAACCAAUAAAUACAGCUCACGAAGUUCAGAAACAGCCUCAUCUGUUCCAGGUCUUAAACAACAAAGCUCCCAAGAAGACAGAGUCUGCAAAGAUACACAGCCUGGGCCUGGAGAGAGCUGCACAGCUACAGCCAUGCGGGCAGACCACGACACAGAGGCAGCUACCACCACUUCUUCCUCAUACUUGGAUUUAGGCCCCGGCAGGUCUGUAUGGUUUGAGCGCUCAUGUAUGCCCAGAAUGUUUCUCUUUCUUUCCAGCACUGACAAAGAUCUAUUUGUGAGGCUGCACUCAUUUUCAGCCGGGAUGGCAGGUGGGAACAGAGGCCUGAUAUAAAUAUACCCCGAUUUGAACUGGGCUGAGCGGGAUCUAGUCCCAGUUUGCACCAUGAACAAACAAUUUUACUUUGCUUGCAACUUUCUUUAAAGAGAAUGAGCUCAAUUAAGAAAACCACAACAACCCAACUUUUAAAAAAUACCAUUGUUAUUGUCCAUGUGGGUUUUGGGUGGGCUGUGGAAAUUGAUUUACGAGUCAACCACUUUUCUCUUUUCUUGCCAUCUCUCGCUUGAGUGGUUUGUAGGCCUUGGCCCUUUCUUUCACUCAAGGAGAAUAAGGUUGUCUAUGGAAGAGGUCAGCAUUUCAAAUUGGUGGAGUUCAACUGCACAAAUGACAUAGAGCUGACAAGAAAAGACAGGGGGUUUGGAGGUCAUAGACUGCAUAGGUCCUGGUUAGGGUUUUCGCUUUGUGAUGGGACCUGGCACCAAAAUGAAUUAAAUAACAGGCUUAAGGACUAUUGAGGGAGGGCUGAAUGCAAAUCAAAGAUAAGUAGAAGUUUUCUUUCCUAAAAGGGGAAUGAUUUUUUUCCUUACCUCCCCCUUUCCAUAUCUGCACAGGCAAGGUCUGCAUGUUAAACAUGAUUUAGCAGGCAUUAUUCUGGAGCCUUUUCAUCAGGUUUCUGCAGUGAUUGCCUAUCUUGGCCUAUGAUUAAUGAUCUGCUGUGCAAUUUGGAGGAUAUAAUGACUCAACAAUCCACACACAAACUAUAUAGUCGCAUUCCUUUUGCAGAUUUGCCAAGCUGUUACCAAGGGGCCCACAACCAAGCAGGAUUGUUAGAGAGAUAGCUAAGCAUUUCUGCAAAUGCCAUUCUGCCCUUAUCUUGCUGAGAAGUGCGUUGGGCAGCAGGCUCGUUUACAAAAUUCAAAGCCUGGAUUUCUGUGGUUCCUUAAAAAAAAAAAAUCUGGACUGAAAUAAUCAUUAAAAGGACUGGUAAGAAAAGAUGCUGGUAUACGGGCUCUCAGUGAUUAUACAGACAAAAUACUUUCUUUGUUUCCAAAAUUUGAAUCUGAUUAAUUGAGGCCUAAUGCUAUUAAUGCAGUUUGAAAGGGGAAAGUUAAUCUUUGGAAACCCAUGGUAUAAAUGAAAUCUGAAAAUCCAAGCAGAUUUUGAAGCAAAAGCUUUAUCUUCAUUUCAGUUUUCUUGUAAGAGUAGGUUAUAAGGAUUUCUUUAUAAAUUUCAAUUGGAUCUGCAGCUAGUUAAAAGUUGUGCAUAGAACAGCCACUUCAUAAACUUUUUCAUUCAAAACAUGGGUUCUGAUAACAGUCCUUUUGGAAAAUCUGUGGUUCCUGUUUGUGAGGUUGUUUUAAAUAAAAAUGAAUGUAAACAGGAAAAGUGAGGACAGAGCUGCAGAUGUAGUCCAACUUUCUAGAAGGACUUCAGUUAUCCUAUGGAAAACAAUUACAGGACCACUUAUAUCUGGUCCUGCUUCUAUAAUUAAUUAUGAGAUGCAGCCCAAAUAAUUUAAUCAUAACCCAAACAGUUCUGGUAUUAUUUCAUUUCAGUGACAUUCACUUUAACGAUUCAUUCAGUUUUAGUUUCCCUUUUGUCUGCCUUGAAGAGAGGGGAACUGGAAGAACGUACAGCAGGUCCUUCUUGCUACAUCAUAUUAUUAUGAUCAUUACCACUAUUGUUAUGGAAGUGCCUGGAAGCCUUAAUCAAGGGUGCAGCUCCACUGUGCUAACGGUGUACCCUCAGAAUGACAGGUGUCUCUUAUUCCUACAAGAAAUGCUCUAAGACCCUGAUUUUGGAAAGCCUUCGCAGCUCCAGAGAGCCUACAGAGAUGUGCCCAGCAGCUGAAGCAUAUGCUAAGGCCAGUGGAUUUAAACACAUGUGUAAGUGCUUCUCUGCAUCCAGGCUUAAGCAAAUACAUGACACUGUAGCAGAAGUUAAGACUGAGGUUUUUCCAAGCCAGAUGUUUCCACAGCCUUUUUCUGAGCCCGCUGUACGCAGCAAUAACCCACCGCCCCUCAGCUUCAGACCCUAACAUGUUAGAGAGCCCUUGUUUAAAGAAACCUUCUUAAUACUAAAUACAAGAAUGAAAGAAGCAAUAUAAAACUCAAAGGUCAGAAUUGUCAGUCUCUUGCUGAUGGAGAGGAAGGAACUGGAAACCUCCACGUAUGAACACUUUCAAGUAAAGCAGAAUUCACCCUCCCCUCUCUAUGUAGGGGCACUCACGCCAAGAACCAACCCAGACCAAUACUCCAUGGAGGUCCUAUUUCUUUUGCGGAUUUUAACUGA